CUCAGGAUGAACGCUGGCGGCGUGCUUAACACAUGCAAGUCGAACGAUGAAGCCCAGCUUGCUGGGUGGAUUAGUGGCGAACGGGUGAGUAACACGUGAGUAACCUGCCCUUAACUCUGGGAUAAGCCUGGGAAACUGGGUCUAAUACCGGAUAGGAGCGUCCACCGCAUGGUGGGUGUUGGAAAGAUUUAUCGGUUUUGGAUGGACUCGCGGCCUAUCAGCUUGUUGGUGAGGUAAUGGCUCACCAAGGCGACGACGGGUAGCCGGCCUGAGAGGGUGACCGGCCACACUGGGACUGAGACACGGCCCAGACUCCUACGGGAGGCAGCAGUGGGGAAUAUUGCACAAUGGGCGCAAGCCUGAUGCAGCGACGCCGCGUGAGGGAUGACGGCCUUCGGGUUGUAAACCUCUUUCAGUAGGGAAGAAGCGAAAGUGACGGUACCUGCAGAA
rnacentral:rRNA from 1 species